CCUACGGGUGGCUGCAGUGGGGAAUAUUGCACAAUGGGCGCAAGCCUGAUGCAGCCAUGCCGCGUGUGUGAAGAAGGCCUUCGGGUUGUAAAGCACUUUCAGCGGGGAGGAAGGCGGUGAGGUUAAUAACCUCAUCGAUUGACGUUACCCGCAGAAGAAGCACCGGCUAACUCCGUGCCAGCAGCCGCGGUAAUACGGAGGGUGCAAGCGUUAAUCGGAAUUACUGGGCGUAAAGCGCACGCAGGCGGUCUGUCAAGUCGGAUGUGAAAUCCCCGGGCUCAACCUGGGAACUGCAUUCGAAACUGGCAGGCUAGAGUCUUGUAGAGGGGGGUAGAGUUCCAGGUGUAGCGGUGAAAUGCGUAAAGAUCUGGAGGAAUACCGGUGGCGAAGGCGGCCCCCUGGACAAAGACUGACGCUCAGGUGCGAAAGCGUGGGGAGCAAACAGGAUUAGAUACCCUAGUAGUC
rnacentral:rRNA from 1 species